CUUGAACACUUCUGAAACACGUAAAACAGAGGAGAAAGAGUGAGAGAAACUUUCCCCUUGCACCCUAGCCGUCACCGUCCCAAGCCCUACCACCGUCGACGUGUUCGCGCAAGAGAGAGGAGGAGUUUGCGAGCGAGAGGGAGAGAGGAAGGGUUACGCGUGGGAGAAGAGGAGAGAAACCAGAACCUUGCUCUUCAAUUUCAUCUUUUCUUCAAGCCUAAGGACAAAGAUGGUCGUGAAGAUAAUGGCGAUGACACAUUCUUGGGAGUUGAUGCUACGUGACGUGUCAAUACCGGAGGACGACUACACUUUAGAGGAAGAGGAAGAGGCUAAGGAAUAGGGUUUGGGUUGAGAGUCUUUUGUUUUCUGUUGGGGUUGAGAGUUUCCGAAGUGUUGGUAUCGAACAAUUUUAUUGCUUAAAUUCGAAUGAACAAGUUUUGAUGUAA